GGCCUCAUUAAAUGUUUGUUG
rnacentral:miRNA from 2 species